rnacentral:rRNA from 1 species
GAUGAACGCUGGCGGCGUGCCUAAUACAUGCAAGUCGAGCGAACAGACGAGGAGCUUGCUCCUCUGACGUUAGCGGCGGACGGGUGAGUAACACGUGGAUAACCUACCUAUAAGACUGGGAUAACUUCGGGAAACCGGAGCUAAUACCGGAUAACAUGUUGAACCGCAUGGUUCAACAGUGAAAGACGGUCUUGCUGUCACUUAUAGAUGGAUCCGCGCCGCAUUAGCUAGUUGGUAAGGUAACGGCUUACCAAGGCAACGAUGCGUAGCCGACCUGAGAGGGUGAUCGGCCACACUGGAACUGAGACACGGUCCAGACUCCUACGGGAGGCAGCAGUAGGGAAUCUUCCGCAAUGGGCGAAAGCCUGACGGAGCAACGCCGCGUGAGUGAUGAAGGUCUUCGGAUCGUAAAGCUCUGUUAUUAGGGAAGAACAAAUGUGUAAGUAACUAUGCACGUCUUGACGGUACCUAAUCAGAAAGCCACGGCUAACUACGUG